GGUGAACGCUGGCGGUAGGCCUAACACAUGCAAGUCGAACGGCAGCACAGGAGAGCUUGCUCUCUGGGUGGCGAGUGGCGGACGGGUGAGGAAUACAUCGGAAUCUACUCUGUCGUGGGGGAUAACGUAGGGAAACUUACGCUAAUACCGCAUACGACCUACGGGUGAAAGCAGGGGACCUUCGGGCCUUGCGCGCUUGAAUGGGCCGAUGUCGGAUUAGCUAGUUGGCGGGGUAAAGGCCCACCAAGGCGAAGAUCGGUAGCUGGUCUGAGAGGAGGAUCAGCCACACUGGAACUGAGACACGGUCCAGACUCCUACGGGAGGCAGCAGUGGGGAAUAUUGGACAAUGGGCGCAAGCCUGAUCCAGCCAUACCGCGUGGGUGAAGAAGGCCUUCGGGUUGUAAAGCCCUUUUGUUGGGAAAGAAAUCCAGCUGGCUAAUACCCGGUUGGGAUGACGGUACCCAAAGAAUAAGCACCGGCUAACUUCGUGCCAGCCGCCGCCGUAA
rnacentral:rRNA from 1 species